UACAGACGGUCCAAACGUUAUUCGGAAUCACUGGGCUUAAAGAGUUCGUAGGCGGUCAGGAAAGUGGGGUGUGAAAGCCCUCGGCUCAACCGGAGGAACUGCGCUCCAAACUACCUGACUUGAGGAGGCUAGAGGUAAGCGGAACUGAUGGUGGAGCGGUGAAAUGCGUUGAUAUCAUCAGGAACACCGGAGGCGAAGGCGGCUUACUGGGGCCUUUCUGACGCUGAGGAACGAAAGCUAGGGGAGCGAACGGG
rnacentral:rRNA from 1 species